UGAUUGUUUGAUUUUUUUAUUUUUUUUUCCCUUGCAAUAUCAUGAUCUAGUUUCCUUUGACCUAUGUUAUAGUACAAUGUUUUUUGGUGUUUCUUAGUCAAUUCUGCAGUAAAGAGAAUAAUUUGUUUUGAUUGGCUCAUUUGCUGUAAACUACUUUGUCUGUCUUAACAGCAGCAUGACAUGUGGUAAACGAGUUAAUUUCUGAACAGGAAAGUUAAAUCUCAUCAUUAAGCACGCACCCUCUUUUUUCUCUAUCAUACAUUUUAAAAAGAAGUGUUUUGACGGCAAGAAGAUACCUCAGGAUUUUCCUAGCCAACUAGUUCUGCUGGUUCUAAAAUGGUAAACUCUAAUCUUGAAAACAAUGUAUGGGGCAACAGCAGGACAGCUUUGCCCACUUACCAUAAACAAUCUCCAUUAGCGUUGAAAAAGGUGGCAUUAAGAGACGUGCAAAAUGAUAAUAGAAGGUUCAUAUCUUAUGGUCCGGAGAGUUCAUGUGUUAGAGGAGCAGUGAUGGACAGUAAUAGUAUCAAGGUUUUUGGAACUAAGAUACUCACCUCUGAAUGCCCUUGUAGCCCUCCGCGCAUUAAGUCCUUGGAGGACAAUGGUUCAAAUGAACUUGAAGCAGAUGCUGGAAUAAGCCUUGAUUUGGAACUAGGUAAACGAAGAAAUCGGGACACUGCAGAAGAAAAUGCUGUUUCUGUUAAUUUGAAACGAUAUUUAGAAAAGCAGCCGAACCUACCUGAGCAGCCAGCCAAGAAACGGGAUCAUGAGAAAUCUUAUCCACCUGCAUUUGCACCAACUUCCGCUGCUUCUGUAAUUGUUUCACCUGAGAAAAGUGAUCAGUAUAGGAUGGAACGAUUCAUUCAUCUGCAGAAAGUUCUGAAGCAAUGUGAUGAAUCUGAUCAGAGGGACUACAUUCAAAUGCUUCUUUGUUUAUCUCCGCUUGAACUUAGCAGACAUGCCGUUGAGUUAGAGAAAAGGUCAAUGCAGCUAUCAGUUGAGGAAGGUACUUAUGUUAUCAAACUAGAGAGAUCCAAAGGAUGAGGACUAUGGAUAUACUGGGGACAUCUUCCAAUGAUCGUUCGCCUGGUUUUGAAAGGAGUCAAUCCAAGAACUGAAAAAAUGGUGAACGAGUUUGAGUAUUUUCCAGCUCAGUUGGUGACUCAUCGACUGAUACAUGUGAGGAUUUAUUAAUGUAAAAGCAAUGCUAGUUUAAGACAAAGUUAUAUGUGAGCCUAAUCAGUAUGCACGAAUCACAAUUCCGUUGAUAUAUAUAGUAGUUACUUUUGUGGGGUAACUUCUUUUUGGGAU